UCGUUCUUUUCAUGAUUAUCAACGCUCAAGACACUACCAUUAGUGAUCUGCGUGAAACCUAAAAAAUUUCUAUUAUAAUGACAUUCUGAUAUCUAUAAAUGAUAAAGAAACGGUAUGAAGCGCUUGAAACUAUCUACAUCCUCCACUUUAAAUUUUUCCAUUAGGAGUUCUCUAUGAUGAAUUGCAAGUGCAGAAAAUUAUUUGGGUUUAAGGUUUGUGUUUUUAAAUAUUCAAUUGAGCAGAAAAUCAUUUAC
rnacentral:lncRNA from 1 species